GACGAACUUUGGCGGCGUGCUUAACACAUGCAAGUCGAACGGAAAGGCCCUGCUUUUGUGGGGUGCUCGAGUGGCGAACGGGUGAGUAACACGUGAGUAACCUGCCCUUGACUUUGGGAUAACUUCAGGAAACUGGGGCUAAUACCGGAUAGGAGCUCCUGCUGCAUGGUGGGGGUUGGAAAGUUUCGGCGGUUGGGGAUGGACUCGCGGCUUAUCAGCUUGUUGGUGGGGUAGUGGCUUACCAAGGCUUUGACGGGUAGCCGGCCUGAGAGGGUGACCGGCCACAUUGGGACUGAGAUACGGCCCAGACUCCUACGGGAGGCAGCAGUGGGGAAUAUUGCACAAUGGGCGGAAGCCUGAUGCAGCAACGCCGCGUGCGGGAUGACGGCCUUCGGGUUGUAAACCGCUUUCGCCUGUGACGAAGCGUGAGUGACGGUAAUGGGUAAAGAAGCACCGGCUAACUACGUGCCAGCAGCCGCGGUGAUACGUAGGGUGCGAGCGUUGUCCGGAUUUAUUGGGCGUAAAGGGCUCGUAGGUGGUUGAUCGCGUCGGAAGUGUAAUCUUGGGGCUUAACCCUGAGCGUGCUUUCGAUACGGGUUGACUUGAGGAAGGUAGGGGAGAAUGGAAUUCCUGGUGGAGCGGUGGAAUGCGCAGAUAUCAGGAGGAACACCAGUGGCGAAGGCGGUUCUCUGGGCCUUUCCUGACGCUGAGGAGCGAAAGCGUGGGGAGCGAACAGGCUUAGAUACCCUGGUAGUCCACGCUGUAAACGGUGGGUACUAGGUGUGGGGUCCAUUCCACGGGUUCCGUGCCGUAGCUAACGCUUUAAGUACCCCGCCUGGGGAGUACGGCCGCAAGGCUAAAACUCAAAGGAAUUGACGGGGCCCCGCACAAGCGGCGGAGCAUGCGGAUUAAUUCGAUGCAACGCGUAGAACCUUACCUGGGUUUGACAUGGAUCGGGAGUGCUCAGAGAUGGGUGUGCCUCUUUUGGGGUCGGUUCACAGGUGGUGCUUGGCUGUCGUCAGCUCGUGUCGUGAGAUGUUGGGUUAAGUCCCGCAACGAGCGCAACCCUUGUUCACUGUUGCCAGCACGUUAUGGUGGGGACUCAGUGGAGACCGCCGGGGUCAACUCGGAGGAAGGUGGGGAUGACGUCAAGUCAUCAUGCCCCUUAUGUCCAGGGCUUCACGCAUGCUACAAUGGCUGGUACAGAGAGUGGCGAGCCUGUGAGGGUGAGCGAAUCUCGGAAAGCCGGUCUCAGUUCGGAUUGGGGUCUGCAACUCGACCUCAUGAAGUCGGAGUCGCUAGUAAUCGCAGAUCAGCAACGCUGCGGUGAAUAUGUUCCCGGGGCU
rnacentral:rRNA from 1 species